rnacentral:rRNA from 1 species
UACAGAGGGGGGCAAGCGUUGUUCGGAAUUACUGGGCGUAAAGGGCGCGUAGGCGGCCUGUUAAGUCGGACGUGAAAUCCCUCGGCUCAACCGGGGAACUGCGUCCGAUACUGGCGGGCUUGAAUUCGGGAGAGGGAUGUGGAAUUCCAGGUGUAGCGGUGAAAUGCGUAGAUAUCUGGAGGAACACCGGUGGCGAAGGCGGCAUCCUGGACCGACAUUGACGCUGAGGCGCGAAAGCCAGGGGAGCAAACGGG